UUAAAUGGCCGCAGUAUUUUGACUGUGCGACGUAGCAUAAUCAUUAGUCUAUUAAUUGUAGGCUGGUAUGAAUGGCUAGAUGGAAAAAAGCUGUCUUCUUCUUAUAAGAUGAAAUUAAGAUUUAUGUGAAGACGCAUAAAUUUAGGAAGGGGACGAGAAGACCCUAUUAAGCUUUAUAUGUAAAUUCUAUUUAAGAGUGUAGAAGUAAAUAUUUUGUUGGGGCGAUAGUAGAAUUAAACAUCUGUUUAUUUUAAAUAAUAUAAUUAUAUGAUAUAUGGUCCAAAAGAUUUGAUUAUAAGAAUAAGUUACUGUAGGGAUAACAGCGUAAUCUCAUCAGAGAGUUCAUAUUGAUGAUGGGGAU
rnacentral:rRNA from 1 species